rnacentral:tRNA from 2 species
CGCGGGUUGGAGCAGUUGGAAGCUCGCCAGUUUAACUUGCUGGAGGUCGUCAGUUCGAGUCUGACACCCGCCACUA